CCCUUAGAUGUUCUGGGCCGCACGCGCGCUACACUGAUGCAGUCAACAAGUUUAUUUCCUGAGCUGAAAAGUUUGGGUAAUCUUUUGAAACUGCAUCGUGCUGGGGCUUGACGAUUGCAAUUAUUUGUCACAAACGAGGAAUUCCUAGUAAACGCAAGUCAUCAUCUUGCGUUGAUUACGUCCCUGCCCUUUGUACACACCGCCCGUCGCUACUACUGAUUGGAUGUUUAAGCGAGGUUCUCGAACUGCUAGCGACUUAGCUUCGGUGAGGUCGCAGUGUGGGAAGUGAACCUAGCUUUGGUGUCUAGAGGAAGUAAAAGUCGUAACA
rnacentral:rRNA from 1 species